rnacentral:rRNA from 1 species
CGUGACCUCAGGUCAGGCGGGGCUACCCGCUGAGUUUAAGCAUAUCAAUAAGCGGAGGAAAAGAAACUAACAAGGAUUCCCUUAGUAACGGC